UUAUUUUGUCAACAAAGAUAGCAGGCGAUAAAAAUGACUUUAUGUACAACCUCUUAUAUAUUCGCAGCUUAUUCCUUAUUAUCCUUAGGGCAAUGUUCCCCAAUCUACCUUUGCACUUCGGAGGGCGAGAGAAAUGCGCUUAGCCAAAGACACGGAGAAUGAAAGGCGCAAUAAGGACACGUAUGAGGGCCAGUUUUCUCUUGGUCAGAGGCAAGGUCUUCCGGAUAUUUCGCUUUAAAGUUGUUAAUUAAAAUUUCUGACGAGUCCAGAGAUGAGAGCGACGAGAACACCAGCUUCCUUGGAGCGAGAGAAAUGAGAUUGGCCAAGGACACGGAGAUGGAAAGACGGUUCUGCCUAGUUAAGAGUGUUAAGACACUUAUGAGGGCCAGUAUGUACAUGGUCUGAGGCAAGGUCCUGGCACCUACAAAGUCUCGCAAAGAAGGGCAAGGCAACUAUGAGGUCAAGAGUGGAGCCAGGGAAUGCGCUGUGAAUUUGGCACCUUCAAUUACUCUGAUGGUUCCAAAUACAAAGGCUUUUCGGCAAAAGACCAAUUGCGCUGCUGAGGAGCCAUGCUUUUCCAAAUUCAAGAUAACUGUGGACUGGGGAAUUCUGGCCUUCGAGACGACACCUCAGGCAACUUGAAAUACCCUACAUUCAUAAAGAAGGCAAUGUGCUGGCCAAAACUAUAAGGGCAAGUGGAGCAAAGGAAUGUGCAGUGGAUUUGACACCUUUAAAUACUCUUAUGGCUCCAAAUAUAUGAUUGCUUUUGGGAAAAAGACAAACACCAUGGCCGAGACGAGUUAUGCUUUUUGCCAACGGCCAGGAGAACUGUGGCCUGUGGAGUGGAAGUCUGGCCUUCGAGACUGCACCACAGGCAUCCUGAAAUACCCUGGCGCCCUUUACAUCGUGGUUGGAAAGAUGGAACCAUGCACGGACCAGGUGCGGUUGUGUAUGAAGCACCGGCGCCUGCUAUCUACGUCUUUUCUGGCAUGGUAGCAUGGAAAAGUGAGUGCACUAGUGCAGAAAAAAGCACCUUUUAAAACUUACAAUCAGCUCACUUGAAUUCACUGACAUGAAUUUGCACGCCGCAUAAUUAUGCAGCAACAAAUUUUUUUAAUUGACUUUUGUAUCCAAGUUCAGACUAACAAUUGCAAGAGAAAUGAUUUUGGUCAAAGACAUGGAGAAGGAAAGGUCCAAUAAGAAAGCUAGUGGCGGUAAGUGGCCAGUUUUACUCCUGUGGUCUGAGUGAGGCAAGGUCUCGGUACCUACAAUAAAUUUACAAAGAAGGCAACGUCCUGGCCAACUAUAAGGGCAAUUGGAGCGAAGGAAUGUGCAGUGGAUUUGGCAGCUUCAAAUGCUCUGAUGGCCCCAAAUAUAAAAAGUUUUGUAACCUUGUAAACUCUUGUGCACUAAAUUUAUUUUAUUUUCUGACAAAGUUAUUUAAGGCUUUUGGGAGAAAGACCAAUGCCGGGAAUGGAGAGUCGUGCAUUUUUCCAACGGCCAAGAGUACUGUGGCCUGUGGAAGGCUGGCCUUCAAGACAACACCACAGACAUCCUGAAAUACCCUGGCGCCCUUUACAUCGGUGGUUGUAAAGAUGGAACCAUGCACGGACCAGGUACGGUUGUGUAUGAAGCACCGACGCCUGCUGUCUGCGUCAUUUCUUGCUGGGAAAAUGGAAAAGUGGUUGUAGAAGAAAGCGCCUGUCAAAAUUGAUGUAGGCAAACUGGUAAACAGCUGGAAGCAAACUUUUCUCAACAAAUCUCAUCAGCUAAAUAUCUGAAGAAGCCGAGAGGACGGAGUUGUUGCAAGGGAGCUUUACUUUCUGAAGGGAAACUUCUUUUUUAACGAUGAGUGGCGCAUCUCAAGCCACCACCCCAUUUCUGAACUGGAGGGGCAUAUCCAAGGCUCCCCCUUUAAGAGAAUCUUUGAUGUGCUUCGUCCUGCUGCUCAGAUGGUCAAAUCUAAAUUUUAAAUUGAGAGCUUUCUUCUUGUGGUGGUUUGCUGCCCCUUCAAGACACAUAUUAUUGAGAAGCAGGCGCAGUGACCACCUGUGCUUUUUGAGUUCCUUCCGAAAGGAGGAGGAUCAGUACCAGUACCCAAAAAAAAGUACUUUUGAUUGCCUUACCCCAUUUGAGGUCGACCCUGAAGCCGUUGGCCAUGAGCAGCUGUACAAGUCGAGGCUUGCUCAGAGUGGUCAGGUAAGCCAAAGUAGGCACCUCUUCUCCUUGAAGAAUUUCAUCGAUUUCCUCACAUCCAGAUGUUUUAAGCACCUAAAAUUUGAUAAAAAUGGUCAUUUUCACUAUGACUGCACAAAAAGUAAACUUAAUACUUUCUGAAAGUUAUUUUUCUGUUGUUUAUGUAGUAAAAUUAUUAACACAAAAUAUAAUUACCGGGGCACCAGCAUUAUUUGCUUGAGCUUGCAUGGUGUUUCAAAUAUGGAUGUGCGCACCGAUGUCCGUGUCCGAAGAGAUCCUACGAUUUUGACAGUGACCUAAAAGUUGCUGUGUGAAUGCUUAUAACAAAGAUAUUUUUGUGUCUAAGUCUGAAUUUUGAAAUUUUUUAGCUAGCACGAAUUAUUUAUUUAGUUAAUUGCUAAUCCUUUCCCCU